GCGAUCGGAGACCUCUAAUCGGAAAAGACUACCCGCUAGUUAA
rnacentral:rRNA from 1 species